UAGGGAAUCUUCCGCAAUGGGCGAAAGCCUGACGGAGCAACGCCGCGUGAGUGAUGAAGGUCUUUGGAUCGUAAAACUCUGUUAUUAGGGAAGAACAAAUGUGUAAGUAACUAUGCACGUCUUGACGGUACCUAAUCAGAAAGCCACGGCUAACUACGUGCCAGCAGCCGCGGUAAUACGUAGGUGGCAAGCGUUAUCCGGAAUUAUUGGGCGUAAAGCGCGCGUAGGCGGUUUUUUAAGUCUGAUGUGAAAGCCCACGGCUCAACCGUGGAGGGUCAUUGGAAACUGGAAAACUUGAGUGCAGAAGAGGAAAGUGGAAUUCCGUGUGUAGCGGUGAAAUGCGCAGAGAUAUGGAGGAUCACCAGUGGCGAAGGCGACUUUCUGGUCUGUAACUGACGCUGAUGUGCGAAAGCGUGGGGAUCAAACAGG
rnacentral:rRNA from 1 species